AGUCGAACGAGCGAGAGAGAGCUUGCUUUCUCGAGCGAGUGGCGAACGGGUGAGUAACGCGUGAGGAACCUGCCUCAAAGAGGGGGACAACAGUUGGAAACGACUGCUAAUACCGCAUAAGCCCACGACCCGGCAUCGGGUAGAGGGAAAAGGAGCAAUCCGCUUUGAGAUGGCCUCGCGUCCGAUUAGCUAGUUGGUGAGGUAACGGCCCACCAAGGCGACGAUCGGUAGCCGGACUGAGAGGUUGAACGGCCACAUUGGGACUGAGACACGGCCCAGACUCCUACGGGAGGCAGCAGUGGGGAAUAUUGCACAAUGGGGGAAACCCUGAUGCAGCGACGCCGCGUGGAGGAAGAAGGUCUUCGGAUUGUAAACUCCUGUCGUUAGGGACGAUAAUGACGGUACCUAACAAGAAAGCACCGGCUAACUACGUGCCAGCAGCCGCGGUAAAACGUAGGGUGCAAGCGUUGUCCGGAAUUACUGGGUGUAAAGGGAGCGCAGGCGGACCGGCAAGUUGGAAGUGAAAACUAUGGGCUCAACCCAUAAAUUGCUUUCAAAACUGCUGGCCUUGAGUAGUGCAGAGGUAGGUGGAAUUCCCGGUGUAGCGGUGGAAUGCGUAGAUAUCGGGAGGAACACCAGUGGCGAAGGCGACCUACUGGGCACCAACUGACGCUGAGGCUCGAAAGCAUGGGUAGCAAACAGGAUUAGAUACCCUGGUAGUCCAUGCCGUAAACGAUGAUUACUAGGUGUUGGAGGAUUGACCCCUUCAGUGCCGCAGUUAACACAAUAAGUAAUCCACCUGGGG
rnacentral:rRNA from 1 species